UACGUAGGGGGCAAGCGUUGUCCGGAUUAUUGGGCGUAAAGAGCGUGUAGGCGGCCAGGUAGGUCUGCUGUGAAAACUCGAGGCUUAACCUCGAGCUGUCGGCGGAAACCAUCUGGCUAGAGUCCGGAAGAGGAGAAUGGAAUUCCCGGUGUAGCGGUGAAAUGCGCAGAUAUCGGGAAGAACACCCGUGGCGAAGGCGGUUCUCUGGGACGGUACUGACGCUGAGACGCGAAAGCGUGGGGAGCGAACAGG
rnacentral:rRNA from 1 species